UGCCUGGAAAAAAGUUAUGUUAAAAAAGAAGAUUCAUAAGACAUUGGAGUUAUAUGAAACAUAUAAAAUUGCACUGGGCAAUGCCUAGAAGGCUAUUUGGAAUUCCAACCAUUCUCUGAAUGUUAAAACAACCCUUAUAUUUUUUAUUAAUGCUGCAUGCAGCACUAAAUUUCAGGACCUUUUUUUAAUACAGUGCUAAUAGAAACUGCAGUACUAAUCAGUUGC
ensembl:ncRNA F10D7.7 ncRNA